AGGAAAGAGAGGGAUUCGAACCCUCGGUAA
rnacentral:tRNA from 1 species